rnacentral:rRNA from 1 species
AGUGAACGCUGGCGGUAGGCCUAACACAUGCAAGUCGAACGGCAGCACAGUAAGAGCUUGCUCUUACGGGUGGCGAGUGGCGGACGUGUGAGGAAUACAUCGGAAUCUACUUUUUCGUGGGGGAUAACGUAGGGAAACUUACGCUAAUACCGCAUACGACCUACGGGUGAAAGCAGGGGAUCUUCGGACCUUGCGCGAUUGAAUGAGCCGAUGUCGGAUUAGCUAGUUGGCGGGGUAAAGGCCAACCAAGGCGACGAUCCGUAGCUGGUCUGAGAGGAUGAUCAGCCACACUGGAACUGAGACACGGUCCAGACUCCUACGGGAGGCAGCAGUGGGGAAUAUUGGACAAUGGGCGCAAGCCUGAUCCAGCCAUACCGCGUGGGUGAAGAAGGCCUUCGGGUUGUAAAGACCUUUUGUUGGGAAAGAAAAGCAGCAGGUUAAUACCCCGCUGUUCUGACGGUACCCAAUGAAUAAGCACCGGCUAACUUCGUG